GUGACCAAGGCGCUCCAGUUAGUGUCCUACUGUCCUUGAGCAUAAUGUGAGUUUUCUUACUGUCCUCUUGAGUUCUUAUCUUCGAAGCUUGAAUUGUAUGUAUUCUAAAAGACCUCAAGCAUUGACAAAAGCAAGUAUAUGUUAGCCCUUUAAAGAUAUUAGAAUGAUUUUUCAUGUUCUAGUUUUGUUUUCCUGGCUAGAAAAAACAUUGUUGCAACUGGUGAAGAACUCUCUCAGCAUAUGCAGACUCAAAAAUGUUGUAUUUGCAUAUCUGUUGGGUUCAACAUUCGAAUUUGAUGGCUAGGUUAGUUACAUAGGUCAUUCUCAGAAUGUUGCAUUCAUAUUUAGUUUUAUGGUUGCCAUUUAUUUGACAUCAGUCUCUCUAUUGUGACACUAAUGGGCUUGGAGUUUCUUGAGUUGUCAUGAAUUUUCUUUAUCAGUCAAUAAGGUAGUAGUAGGUAAUACUGAUAUUAAGCACAAUCUUCAUGACUCAGCCGCUUAGUACAUGCUUUUGAGUGUUUAUUCUGAAUCCAAAUGAUCUUUCUCAAGUUCAAACAAUAUUUAUGCCGAUUUCCUGACGUCAUUUGUUUAGAUCAUUGUCUUGAUGUUUUUGUUGUAGUUAUCUUAAAAUGUGUUCAUGUAAAUCUUUCGAAUUGCCAUUUCAAAGGGGAUGGUUAUCUGUAUUAAUUGGCUGAUAUCUCCUUCGUCUGAGCUCUACAUAUGAUGCAAAUGAUGGAUCCACAACUUUAGGUAAGUCAACUUUGAACCAACAAGUUACAUUGUACAUGAGGGUACUAAGCAAAGAUAUAUAAAUGAUAUUGUGUCUCUUUUUCUGUCUUAUAAUUAGGACCCAAGACCUAACUAUGACUCCCACUGCAUCUAUCGACACCGGUCAAACCAUCUCUCUUCAUCUUCUCCUCUUUAGCCUUUCGACAAAACACAACCCACGAGUUAACUUCCAUGGCCACGCAGACACCAACCAGCGUCGACAGACAUAGACAGUAACCGAGCUUUGCGUACGACCUUCCUUCCCUUAAAACCUCAAACCCUUGGAACACAUUCACCACGCCCAUCACCACACACGCGUACCCGACAAAAUGAUGGUAAGACUUCCAGUACCUCCGGAACUUAUUGGUCGUCUUUGGUCUGAACAGCAAAGCCAGUGUUUGCAGCGCCGCUGCUGUGAAAGUAGCUAUCCCGAGGCUCCGAUGUAACCCAUAGGUCACUCCAGGGGAAUUAUGGCCGAGCACGAUUCCAAUGGAGAAGCCAAUGGUUCCUAGGAGGAAACCGGUUAGCUGUAUUGCUGCGUGGAUGUAGA